rnacentral:misc_RNA from 1 species
GAAAUGCGAUAAGUAAUGUGAAUUGCAGAAUUCAGUGAAUCAUCGAAUCUUUGAACGCACAUUGCGCCCAUUAGUAUUCUAGUGGGCAUGCCUAUUCGAGCGUCAUUUCAACCCUUAAGCUUAGCUUAAUGUUGGGAUUUUACAUGUAUGUAACUCCCUAAAGUCAGUGGCAGAGCUAGUUCAUCUCUCAGCGUAGUAAUUUUAUCUCGCUUUUGAUGGUGGUCUUUCUCUCGCCAGAAGCCUAUUUACUUCUAAUGGUUGACCUCGGAUUAGGUAGGAAUACCCGCUGAACUUAA